GAGGGCGUGGCUUCCGACAUUCGGCGGGGUCUUUACCUCUUGCUCCCGCCAGAGUUUGGGAUUCGUCUCUACUGUUCCGCGUCCUCCACCUUAGCCCCUGGUGACUCUGUCACAGCCUCUGUUGACCUAUGAUCUGCAGGGAGACGCACAGCCAGGACAUCCUGGAACCUGGGAAAGGGGGGAGUUGUGACAUAUCACUUGGCUCCGUACCAAACAAGUGUGAUUCUUCUUCCAUCAUAAGUUCUGCUGGCAAGGGAGAUUGAGACAUAUUAUGGAGCUCUACACCAAUGUGACAUUACUGUUUUGCCUUGGCCUGGACCUCAGAAGCCAUUGUGACAUAUUACUGGGCUCAACAAGGUGUGAUUUUGGCACACACUUCUGCCCAGCACCUUAGUAAUGUGAUUCUUCAGAAUUGGCCCAGCCUACAAAUAGGAUUGUGCCACACUGCUGGACCCAGCACCUAGGUGAUGUAACUCUGUUCCGCCUUGGUGCUACUUGAAAAAGACAUUGUAAUAUAUCUCAGAGCCUUGCACCCAGUAAUGUCAGUCUCCUCUCAUGCCUUGCUGCUGCACACAGAAGCAGGAUAUGCACAGGAUUGUUAAUCUCAUCUUGGACCUUCCUGCACGUGUGACUGUGACAGAUGCUUCUGUGUAGAACCUGAAGAAGAUUGUGACAUCACUGGACCCAGCAAUUAGAAAUUGUUUCUCUCCUGCCUGAGCCUUGCCCACAAGAACAUUGUGACAUAUCCUUGGGCUCAGCACCCAGGUGAUGGAACUCUGCCACCUGUGCCCUGUCUACUUAGGCUAUUGUGAAGUAUAGCCGGUUUCAAUACCCAGAAGGCAUUGAGACAUACUGCUGGGCCUAGCACUAAGAUGAUGUGAGUCCUCUGCCUGAAUCCUGACUACAGGGAGCAUUGUGACAUAUUUCUUGACCCAUUACAAUCUCUCCUAUAGACCAAGCUCAGGUGGAAUUGUGACAUAUAACUUGACAAAGCACGCAGAUGUAAUGAUGACUCUCAUACCUCAAAGAAGCCAGUAGGAGAGAGAAUGUUGCUCACAGCUAUGCUUAGGAAAACAAAGAAGAUCCUGGCUCUUCUUUCUGUACAAAUGUCAUAGAGAAUUACCACUCUCACAUCUGUAAAGCCCUAGUGUGUUAUAGAGAAUGUCAUAACAGGGUCCACUAUGCAGAUGAGAUUGCAUUUGUCCUAUGCACAGCCCACCAACCUUUAGAAUUGUCACCCUCACACAUGGAGAGAGCCCACUGGGUGAGGUCCUGAAUCUCACAUGAAUGCACUCCACAGUUGGAACUUUGACUGUCAUAUGUGAACAUCUGGCCGCAGUUGAGAUGGUGACUCAUUUCUAAACCUAGCUCAUAGGAAGGUGAGGACUCUAUUAUCUGGACUCAGCCAAUUAGAGAGAUAUUGACUCUGGGCUUAGAACCACAGAAAAGGUUCUGGAUUUCCUUCUUGUAUGAAGGUCACAGAGGAUCACCACUGUUGCCUAUUGUAUGAAGCCCUCAGGUGACACAGAUAAUGUCAUAGGAGUACACAGCACACAGGUGGAUAGUGUCUCUUGCAUGCACACUCAGACAACAGUAAAGACUGUCAUUCUCCCACACAAACAUAUCCCACUGUUGAGGUUCUGAAUCUCAAAUAUGGAGUCUGUUGAUAGUUUCAGAAUUGAGUCUCAUACAUGGGCCUGGUCAACAGGUGGACUGGUGACUCUCAGACCAAAUUUCAGCACACAUAUGAGGCUGUGACUGCACUGACAGUCUGCAGAAGAAAUUUUGGCUCUCUUGCAAAAAUUCUGUCAGCUAUUGAGAUUGUUACUCAUGUACUUAGACCCAAUAUACAGGAGGUAUUGACUCCCAUAUCUAGAACGUGGACACAUAUGGAAUUUCUAAUCUCAUUCCUGGACUUUCUUUCAGAUGUGAUUGAAUGUGUCUGCUAAGCAUUUUAGUGAUUUGACUUUUCUGCCUUAGCCCAGCCCACAGAUGAGAUUGUGACAUAUCUCUUGACUCUGCACCUCAAAAGAAGUGACUCUUUUUCCAGCCUUGGUGUUGCCCUCAGGUGGCAUUGUGACAUAUGGCUGGGCUUUCCACUUAGGUGAUGGGAGUCUUUUUUUCUUGCCUUGGUGCUGUGCACAAGUUGCAUUGUGACAUAUUGCUAAGAUCUGCACUCAGGUUACGUGAAUUUGCUUUUUUUUUCCUAAGCCCUGAAUAUUUUGCAAGUUAGGACAUAUUACUAGCCCCAACACCUAUAAAAGGGGAGGCUUCUGCUUGGGCCCUUUCUACAGAGGGCCUUGUGACAUAUCUCUGCAUCAAUCACCUAGGAGAUGUGACUCUCCAUUUUUGCCUACACUCUGCCCACAGAAAAAUUAUCACUAGGCCCAGGUACCAGACAAUGUGUCUUUCUUGCAUGGCCCUUUACCAUAGAAAGCAUUGUUACCUAUUGCUGGGCUCGGCACCUAGGUGAUGUCACUGCUGCCUGUCCUGCUUUCAGGAGAAGGCUGUAACAUAUUCCUGGCUGAGUAUUAAAGUGAUGUGACACUCCUGUCUGGUCCCUGCCCUAUUGUGAUGUAUUCUUGGCCAAAAACCCAGGUGAUGUUACUCUCCUCCUUUCUGCCUGUUCACAGGUGGGAUUGUAAAAUAUAUUUUGGUCUAGCUCACAGGUGCAAUGGUGACUCUCACACCUCAAACCAUCUAAUAGGAGAGGUGUUGUCUUUUAUAGCUAGGCCUAGGGUAAUGAUUAAGAUCCUCGGUCUCCUUUUUUGUACAAAGUCAUAGGAAAUUACCACUUUCUUGUAUACUAUACACAUCUCUUGUGGUACAGUGAGUGUCAUUCCAGGGUUCAGCACACAGGUGAGAUUGUGGUUCUCAUGUGCACACCCCACCAAUUGUUAGAAUUGUCACCAUAAUACAAUCCACAGUUAAAAUUGUGACUGUCAUAUGUGAACAUCCAGCCAGAGUUGGAAUGAUGACUUAUUUCUAAAUCCAGUUCUUUAGCAGGUGAAAAUUCUAUCUGGACCCAUGAAAAAUUUACCUGGGCUUAGGGCCAGAGUAAACACAGUUUACAGGAGGAAUGAAGGCUCUCAUGCACCAAUCCAGUUCAUUGGUGAAAUUGUUAGUACUGUACUUAGACCCAACAUAGAAAAUGUGGUGAUUCUCGUACCUAGAACUGGGACCUGUGCGGGAUUGUUAAUUUAUUACUGGACCUUCCUGCGGGAGUGAUUAUCACAUAUGCCUAUGUUCAGCACCUGAGUGAUUUGAUUUUGCUGCCUGGUCCCAGUCUGAAGGCUCCGCAUAUUUGGGUAUUGUGACAUAUUGCUGAACUCAACACCUAAGGGAUGAGAGUCUCCUACCUGUGCCCUUCCUACAGGGGACAUUGUGGCAUGUGUCUGCAUUCCUCACCUAGGAGAUGUGACUCUCAUCUUCUGCUUGCACCCUGCCUACAUGGAAAGCUGUGGCAUAUUGCUGUGGUCAGCAACCAGAUGAUGUGUUUCUCCUGCCUGGGUCUUAAUAGAGACAGGAAAGAUGGUUGACAUAUUACUGGGCCCAGCAUCCAGGUGAUGUUUUGCCUUCAGGUGACAUUGUGACAUCGCUGGGCUCUGCAUUGACAAUUUGUGACUCUUCUGCCUGUGAUUUGCACACUUGGGCCAUUGUGACAUAUUACUGGGUGUGACGCUCAGGGGAUGUAAUUUUUAUGCCUGGGCCUUGCCUAUAGGCGGCAUUUUGAAAUGUCUUUGUGGCCGGGUGUGGUGACUCAUGCCUGUAAUCCCAGUACUUUGGGAGGCUGAGGGAAGUGGAUCACAAGGUCAGGAGUACAAGACCAGCCUGCUUAAUAUUGUGAAACCCUGUCUCUACUAAAAAAAAAAAUACAAAAAGCAGCCAGCCAUGGUGACCGGUGCCUGUAGUCCCAGGUACUCAAGAGGCUGAGGCAGGAGAAUUGGUUGAAUUCGGGAGGUGGAGGUUGCAGUGAGCCAAAAUCGUGCCACUGCACUCCAGCCUGGGUGAUAGAGUGAGAUUCCAUCUCAAAAAACAAAAACAAAACAAAAAAAAGAAUGAAUGAAUGUCUUUGCACCAAUCCCAAAGGUGAUGUGACUCUCUUGUGUUACCUGGUCUCUGCUCACAGGAAGAAUCGUGACCUUUUACAGCAUAUGGUUGAUUUUUUUUUCUUUUAUUUCUUACUUUUUCCUGCAGGAAAGAUGGUGAAAUAUUAAUGAACUAAGUACC